rnacentral:rRNA from 1 species
AUGCACGCUGGCGGCGUGCCUAAUACAUGCCAGUCGAGUGAACGGACGAGAAGCUUGCUUUUCUGAUGUUAGCGGCGGACGGGUGAGUAACACGUGGAUAACCUACCUAUAAGACUGGGAUAACUUCGGGAAACCGGAGCUAAUACCGGAUAAUAUUUUGAACCGCAUGGUUCAAAAGUGAAAGACGGUCUUGCUGUCACUUAUAGAUGGAUCCGCGCUGCAUUAGCUAGUUGGUAAGGUAACGGCUUACCAAGGCAACGAUGCAUAGCCGACCUGAGAGGGUGAUCGGCCACACUGGAACUGAGACACGGUCCAGACUCCUACGGGAGGCAGCAGUAGGGAAUCUUCCGCAAUGGGCGAAAGCCUGACGGAGCAACGCCGCGUGAGUGAUGAAGGUCUUCGGAUCGUAAAACUCUGUUAUUAGGGAAGAACAUAUGUGUAAGUAACUGUGCACAUCUUGACGGUACCUAAUCAGAAAGCCACGGCUAACUACGUG